rnacentral:ncRNA from 2 species
GAAAACCUUUGGGGCAGGGUGAGGCAUGAGCCGAUUCCCGACCGGUGGUAUAAUCCACGCGCGCCGUACGCGGCGCUGAUCCGGCGCAAUUCCGGAAUCGACGGUAGAGUCCGGAUGAAAAAAGGCAGCG